rnacentral:rRNA from 1 species
UGCUUAACACAUGCAAGUCUACGAGAACCGGGGAGCAAUCCCUGGGGACAGUGGCGCACGGGUGCGUAACGCGUAGGUAAUCUGCCUCGAAGUCUGGAAUAACACCGCUAACGCGGUGCUAAUACCAGAUGAUGUUAUGAGAAGACAUCUUCUUAUAAUCAAAGUUUCGACGCUUCGAGAUGAGCCUGCGUCCCGUUAGCUAGUUGGCGGAGUAACAGCCCACCAAGGCGACGAUGGGUAGCUGGUCUGAGAGGAUGAUCAGCCACAUUGGAACUGAGAUACGGUCCAGACUCCUACGGGAGGCAGCAGUGAGGAAUAUUGCGCAAUGGACGAAAGUCUGACGCAGCAACGCCGCGUGAAGGAUGAAGGCCCUCUGGGUUGUAAACUUC